AUUUUGGCGACACGGGUUCCAACCCGGCCUCCGAGAAAUUUUAUUUUACAUUUUGGUACCUUUUUUACAAUUAUGAUAUCAAAGCGUAGCACAUUCUAUUAAAUAAUUGUCCUGAGAUUCGUUACAGAGAAAUAUUUUUUGCUGCAAUCAGGUGUACAGUCCCUUUAAAUGACUAUUUCACAAUUGAAUAGUAUAUUAUUGUGUUCAUGUUCUUUCUUUUCUAUAAGGAACAUAAACAUGUGUUUUAGACGAACCACGAACACCAUCGAAAUAAUUCUCUUUUCUUACAUGUGAAUCUUUACAUCGACACCGGCUGGUAUGAAUAAACGCCGUUCCCGAACAGUACCGGACCCGUACGCAGAUACAGACCUCGAACCCCGUUGGCCCGAGCUCGAUUGUGUCGAACUCCUCGUUGGCUCGAACUAGUUGUAAAGGACCCAUCUAUUUACACUGAAGUUUGUGCAGUAAAGCGGUACCUUGUGACAGGUCGUUACGUAUAAAAGACCUAACCUGGAUGCCUAAAAGCGCACACCUGUCAAUUAACAAGGACUGGAUUGGAAACUUUACAACCUUGACGAUCAAAGGCAGAUAACCUGUUCGUUAGACCGCAGCUGAAAUGGAAUCGACUACAGAAAAAAUGUUGAAUAAUCGUAGCAAAGACACUCGAAUUCCUUCAGGCGCUGUUCAGCAAAGGGCUAGAGAACAAGCGUUUAAACAUCACGAGGAAAGACAAAAGUGGUCAGGCCUUGUUCAAGAAAUGUCGACGGACAAAACUGGGAACGGGCGAAUAACAAUAAUUGGAUCGGGUAUAAAGAGUGUUGGCCACCUCACCCUGGAAGCCGUUGGUUUCAUCAAAUCAUGCAAAAAAGUGUUCUAUUUGGUGGCUGAUCAUGUCACCGCGAUCUAUAUUAAAGAGAUGCGACCAGACGCAAUGGAUUUUUCGUUCUGUAUGACGAUGACAAGGAUAGGUACGAGACGUACGUCCAGAUGUCGGAAGCGAUACUUCAAGAGGCUAGAAAAGGUGUACAUGUAGCGGCCGUAUUCUACGGUCAUUCGGGAAUAUUUUGUCUUCCUUCUCACCGAAUUCUGCAGAUUGCAAAGCGAGAGGGUAUACCAGCCAAACUUUUGGCGGCACCCUCUGCUGUGGAUUGCUUAUUCGCUGAUCUUCAGAUCGACCCGGCCUUUCCCGGAUGUCAGUCGUUUGAAGCGACCGACUUGCUGCUACGGAAACGGAAACUUUUCACGUAUAUUCACACGGUCCUUUGGCAAGUUGGGUGCGUCGGAAAGACCUAUUUUCAGUAUAAAGGUUUCGACAACGAUAAAUUGCAUGUUUUGAUCGAGUUCCUUCAAGACAUCUACGGAAGAGAUUAUGAGAUCGUUCACUACAUCGGGCCGCACUAUGCGGUUUGCGACCCAGUCAUUGAGACGCUCAAACUGAGCGAAUUGAAGAUUGAGGAGGUCAAGAAAAAAAUCAAAUCCUGUUCGACCUUUUCAUUCCACCAAGGGACGGCGCAAAGAUUAAUGAAAACAUGGCGAAAGAAUUAGGCUUUCCAUGGGUAGAUGCAAACAGAGGCUACAGGAAGGCAUCGAAAUAUAUUUCGGCUUACGACCUGAAAGAAAGAAAAACAUUAGCAGCGCUAAAGGAUUGGAGUUUCCCGACCAACUACUCUGUUGUCGUACCGACAAACAUGUCCAGGAAAUUGAUUCGGCUGAGUUUGAAUCCCGAUGAAGAUAAGUCGUCCCAUCUAACCGAGAAUGAGAGAGAAGUAGUUAAAAGUGGGGCCAGCGUAGCGAUAAAAAUAUGCUCGGUCAAACUAUGAUCUUUGAUGACCCUGUUCUCGUUGUUGUGGUUGUUGUGGUUUGAAUAUUACUGUAGACAGCUAAACAUGCCGGAGGUGCUUUAAACUUUUGUCUUAUUAUAAUAAAAAUGUAGAUUACUUUACAAUACAUUUCAUCCUUUCAAUUUAGUGACAGAAACCAUCCGUGAUUACGAGUUUAUGACAAGCAAAAUGCACUGUUAAUAGAAGACCGUUAUAAACAUUUACUUUUAAUUUAAAAAAAAAUACCGAAUGCUAAAAUAUUAUAAGUAAAAAAACUAGCAAUAAAAUUACUAAAUGCUUAAGCAGAUAGGUAAUUCAGCAGACCACUGGACACAAGUUUUCAUAAAAGUCUCGUGAUUAUAUGCUUCGUAAAAAGAUCUAAAGUAAAAAAAAAAGAUUGACCUCUCGGCAUAACGCAAUCUUCAGUAUUUAAUGACGCGGACUGAUUAAUCGACCUGUAAGAUUGCUUCACGCUAUAUAGGAGGUUUUUUGUAAGAAUUAUUUCCGGACGUUUGACUAUUGCAUAUGUUUGCAUAACAUUUUAUUAUUUACACAACAUGAAUCUAAAGUUAUUGUGUGCAACAACAAAUAGAAACGGUCUUAUUUACAUCAAAGUUGUAGACAAAAGGUCAACUCAUAACAACGCUAUCUAUAUACGGUUAAGACAACAACAAAACACGUACAAAAGAGUGGUUGUAUAUAAAAACCACUGAUAACAAAUGAAUAUUUUGUAGGAUUUUAUUGAGAUAAAUUGAUUAUUUUAAGAUAUUUUACUUCUGCUGUAAAUUUUUAUUGUCAUUUUUUUUAUAUUAAUUACCGCUUAUGUCGUAAUUAAAAUUUCAGUGUUUUAAAAAUUAAAUGUUAUUAUGUAAUGUACACCAUAUUAUUUUAUGUUCACCAUUACAUUAUAAUUAGAUUUGAGUUGAAACAAAAUGAUUAUUAAACCAUUACAAUUUGAUAUUUUGAGCUCUGAAGCUAGAAAGCAAUAUGCGUUUAGUAAAGGUAUUGAAAUAUGUUUCCAAUUUGUUUUUCAAGUUAUAUAUCAGUAAUACCGCGUUUAAUUAAUUCAUCUCUUGAAUUAAUAAAAACAAAUUUGUGGCAAAUCAAUUGUUGUUAAAAACUAAGAAAUACAAGGAAUACUUGAUUAAAACUUAGAUUACAUUAUGUUUAACACAAAUAUGUUUUAAAACAGUUGAAUCUUUUAUCUAUUUGUAUUGAAACUAAUGCAAUAUGUUUCCAUUUUGCUUCUUAGUUCUACAUCAGUAAUAUCGCUUUUCAUUAUAUGAUAUUUUUUAAUUUUUUGAAAACAAAUUAGAUUAAUGGGAUUUUUUUUGUUAAAUUAAGAAAUGCAAGGAAACCCGUAUUACAACUUAGAUUACAAUAUGUUUAAAACAAAUAUAUGACGUAUUUCAGUUCUGUAGCUCGUUAUCACAUUGUGUUUUCGUUAAAGUAAUGGUUAAAUGUUGUUAGUAUGAACUUACAAAAAUAAAUCGUUUGAUGCGACGCAAUCGAAUGACCAUUUUUUUGUAAGUACAUACUAACAAAAACAAUUUGAGGUCAACUUUUUUUUGUGUCAACUGCACACUAAGUGAGCGAACCACUCUUCAUAUCUACCGCUUCACAUGAUUGAAAUUACUAACGGCUGAAGGCUGAUUUACAGAAAUAAAUGAAUUAAAGAACUUGAGAAAUACUGCAUUUUCAUUAGACAAAAUAAAAUGUUGACCACUUAUUGCUGUGCCAUAUUUCAGUUUUUGUAUCACAUAGUUGUUGCGUGUAAGUAUUUGUUAAAAGUAAAUACAAACUCAUAACCCUUGAACUAGCUUAUUGGUCGCGAUUAUAGUUUGUAUGGUGGCCCAGCCUCUGUUUAAAUCUACCGAAUUACCUAUUAUCAAUAACGGCUGUAAUUUAACGGUAUAACACCGCUGGCUUUUUUUGUAACUAAGGUUCUGAUCCUCAAAAGUGUAGAAUAUAAAAGAAUCACACUGAUCGUCCAAAAUAUCAUAACUUUAGAUAAAGCUAUCAUGUACGUUCGAUUUAAUAUUUGUAUACACUGUUCUUUCAUUUUAUAUUAUAUGCCGCGUGAUUAAAGUUCUAAUUUUGAUGAAACUGCUUGCAAAUAUAUC